rnacentral:rRNA from 1 species
AACGCGUGGGAAUCUGCCCUUGGGUACGGAAUAACUCAGAGAAAUUUGUGCUAAUACCGUAUAAUGUCUUCGGACCAAAGAUUUAUCGCCCAAGGAUGAGCCCGCGUAAGAUUAGCUAGUUGGUGAGGUAAAAGCUCACCAAGGCGACGAUCUUUAGCUGGUCUGAGAGGAUGAUCAGCCACACUGGGACUGAGACACGGCCCAGACUCCUACGGGAGGCAGCAGUGGGGAAUAUUGGACAAUGGGCGAAAGCCUGAUCCAGCAAUGCCGCGUGAGUGAUGAAGGCCUUAGGGUUGUAAAGCUCUUUUACCCGGGAUGAUAAUGACAGUACCGGGAGAAUAAGCUCCGGCUAACUCCGUGCCAGCAGCCGCGGUAAUACGGAGGGAGCUAGCGUUGUUCGGAAUUACUGGGCGUAAAGCGCGCGUAGGCGGUUUUUUAAGUCAGAGGUGAAAGCCCAGUGCUCAACACUGGAACUGCCUUUGAAACUGGAAAACUUGAAUCUUGGAGAGGUCAGUGGAAUUCCGAGUGUAGAGGUGAAAUUCGUAGAUAUUCGGAAG